AUUGAACGCUGGCGGCAGGCUUAACACAUGCAAGUCGAGCGAGCGGCGGACGGGUGAGUAAUGGCUGGGAAACUGCCUGAUGGAGGGGGAUCACUACUGGAAACGGUAGCUAAUACCGCAUACCAUCGGAUGUGCCCACGUGGGAUUAGCUAGUAGGUGGGGUAAAGGCUCACCUAGGCGACGAUCCCUAGCUGGUCUGAGAGGAUGACCAGCCACACUGGAACUGAGACACGGCCCAGACUCCUACGGGAGGCAGCAGUGGGGAAUAUUGGACAAUGGGCGCAAGCCUGAUGCAGCCAUGCCGCGUGAAUGAAGAAGGCCUUCGGGUUGUAAAGUACUUUCGGCGGGGAGGCGUUACCCGCAGAAGAAGCACCGGCUAACUCCGUGCCAGCCGCCGCGGUAAUUC
rnacentral:rRNA from 1 species